UGGGGAAUAUUGCACAAUGGGCGCAAGCCUGAUGCAGCCAUGCCGCGUGUGUGAAGAAGGCCUUCGGGUUGUAAAGCACUUUCAGCGAGGAGGAAGGUGGUGAGCUUAAUACGCUCAUCAAUUGACGUUACUCGCAGAAGAAGCACCGGCUAACUCCGUGCCAGCAGCCGCGGUAAUACGGAGGGUGCAAGCGUUAAUCGGAAUUACUGGGCGUAAAGCGCACGCAGGCGGUUUGUUAAGUCAGNUGUGAAAUCCCCGGGCUCAACCUGGGAACUGCAUUUGAAACUGGCAAGCUAGAGUCUCGUAGAGGGGGGUAGAAUUCCAGGUGUAGCGGUGAAAUGCGUAGAGAUCUGGAGGAAUACCGGUGGCGAAGGCGGCCCCCUGGACGAAGACUGACGCUCAGGUGCGAAAGCGUGGGGCAGCAAACAGGAUUAGAUACCCUGGUAGUCAGCGCUGUAAACGAUGUCGAUUUUGGAGGUUGUGCCCUUGAGGCGUGGCUUCCGGAGCUAACGCGUUAAAGUCGACCGCCUGGGGGAUCGCGCAGCAGUUAAAACUUAAAGGAAUUG
rnacentral:rRNA from 1 species